rnacentral:lncRNA from 1 species
UCUGAAAUGAAUUGAUUUAGAGUGACUUUUAACAUUUGAAUUUCAUUUCAUUUCAGAUUAAACAUUUGAAUUUAAGAACCUGCGAGAUGUCUGCGCGAGAUGAACUACACAGGAGUUCACAGCUGUGAAGUAAAAUUAAAUAAGGGUAUUUUCGUCAUUUCACCACAAAUUUGUCCUAAAUCUCAACUUUUCUACCAUCAAUCCUAAAACUCUUUUUCUACCCCAUUUUUGGCCUAUUUUUGGCAAUUCCCCAUAAUUAUUGGCCAUAGGUUUGAUUUAGAUUUUUAAAAUUAUCAUUGUUUACUAUUUUAUUUUAUUAAUAUCAUCUUCCAAUCUUAAAAAUUUGAAUUUAUGUACUACUGCAAUAACAUAAAUUAAUACAACUGCAAUAGUAAUUUAAUAAAAAAAAACUUACAAAGUGAAGAAGGGUUCAAUUUUCUUCCAAAGUGAUUUGUUUUUUAUGUUUCCAAUCCAAGACACCGAAACUACACAAAAAAAUAUAUAAUAACAUGAGAAUAUGAUAUAUAUAAUUUAAAGGGAGAUUUGAUUGGAAGGAAAAAAUACCUUGUUUAUAGAUAUUUUCU